rnacentral:lncRNA from 1 species
GCUCCCAGCCGGACCAUGCUACACGCUCGCAGAAUGCCUUCUAAUCGCACUCAAGACAACUGUGUGAGUGCAAAGCCUGCUUUCAGUUCUUUAGAAGACGGAAAUGUGAUGUUCUUGC